AAAAAAAGAAAAGAAAAGAAAUAGGAUUCCCCCCAGAGGGAUUGAAGGAGACUUGACUGAAAGGGCAAGAUGGGUGAAUAGGGAUUUGGAAACAAACCAAGGAUGUCAGGGUGCCCAGAGACUAGGAACAGAGAGAAGCCAAAGGGACAAGGGGAAGGGACGGCACCUGAUGGGAGCUGCCUGGUGAGAGAAACAGUCGGGAACGACUACAGGAGCUAGGACACCAGGGGAUCACAUCCUUCCCUAGCACCUUCACGGGGAGUAUGGUCCUGCCAACACCGUGAUCUAGAACUUCUGGCCUCCAGAACGGUGGAACAAUACACUUCUAUUGUUUAUGCCACUCUGUUUGUGGUACUUUGCUACAGCAACCCUACAA
rnacentral:lncRNA from 1 species